GGGGCCUUAGCUCAGUUGGGAGAGCGCCUGCUUUGCACGCAGGAGGUCAGGAGUUCGAAUCUCCUAGGCUCCA
rnacentral:tRNA from 2 species